rnacentral:rRNA from 1 species
UGGGGAAUCUUCCGCAAUGGACGAAAGUCUGACGGAGCAACGCCGCGUGAGUGAAGACGGCCUUCGGGUUGUAAAGCUCUGUGAUCCGGGACGAAAGAGCCUGAGGUGAAUAGCCUAAGGAAGUGACGGUACCGGAAAAGCAAGCCACGGCUAACUACGUGCCAGCAGCCGCGGUAAUACGUAGGUGGCAAGCGUUGUCCGGAAUUAUUGGGCGUAAAGCGCGCGCAGGCGGCUUCCUAAGUCCAUCUUAAAAGUGCGGGGCUUAACCCCGUGAUGGGAUGGAAACUGGGAAGCUGGAGUAUCGGAGAGGAAAGUGGAAUUCCUAGUGUAGCGGUGAAAUGCGUAGAGAUUAGGAAGAACACCGGUGGCGAAGGCAACUUUCUGGACGAAAACUGACGCUGAGGCGCGAAAGCGUGGGGAGCAAACAGG